GACAAACGCUGGCGGCGUGCUUAACACAUGCAAGUCGAACGGAAAGGCCCUGCUUUUGUGGGGUGCUCGAGUGGCGAACGGGUGAGUAACACGUGAGUAACCUGCCCUUGACUUUGGGAUAACUUCAGGAAACUGGGGCUAAUACCGGAUAGGAGCUCCUGCUGCAUGGUGGGGGUUGGAAAGUUUCGGCGGUUGGGGAUGGACUCGCGGCUUAUCAGCUUGUUGGUGGGGUAGUGGCUUACCAAGGCCUGGACGGGUAGCCGGCCUGGGAGGGUGACCGGCCACAUCGGGACUGGGAUACGGCCCAGACUCCUACGGGAGGCAGCGGUGGGGAAUAUUGCACAAUGGGCGGAAGCCUGAUGCAGCAACGCCGCGUGCGGGAUGACGGCCUUCGGGUUGUAAACCGCUUUCGCCUGUGACGAAGCGUGAGUGACGGUAAUGGGUAAAGAAGCACCGGCUAACUACGUG
rnacentral:rRNA from 1 species